rnacentral:lncRNA from 1 species
AAAAGACUAAAACCAGAGUUUUCUAAAGUUGAAGGACUAAAUUGUACCAUAGUUUGAAAAUUGACUAAAACCAAAAUUUGACUAAAACCAAAAUCGCCUCAAAGUAUAGGAACUAAAAAUAUAUUUAACCCUAACAUAAUUCAAAAAGGAAAAUCUCAAGGAGAAAGGAAAGAGAAAUCCUAGUCCCCACACGGACAACUCCUAACCUUAAAUAAAACUUCCAAUCUAAAUAAAAACCUGGUACAACUAAAUCUAAAAGAAAAACUUCUUUUAACAACAUUUUUUUAACAACUUUUUGACAACGUAUAUGUGGCAGCUUGUAAUUGGUCCGUUUUAAAUAUUUUUUAAACAUAAAUUCAAAUAGAUCAAUAAAAUGAUGACACGUGUCUCAUUAUCAAAAAAGUUGUCAAAAAAUGUUGUUAAAAUAUCAUUGUCCAAAACUAAAACAACAUUGCAUUCUUCCUAUUCCUUGCAGCGGUCCCACAACUCAUUAAUACACACACUUCAAAUUUCUCUCUCCACUAAUCAUGUUGCAAGUACGUAACUUGCAUGCACAACAUUCUAUUUCCCUCACUUUAACUACACACCUUAACAUAUCUCACACCAACCAUUCCCUCAUCUCUAAAACAAUGCUCUCCACUUUCAUUUACUCUUCCCAUUUACAACUACAACCACAAGACUUGAACUUCACCUUCACUCGUUCUCUGCAAUCACCAAUACAUACUUAUGCCCAAACCUCACCAUCUAUUAUCCAACCUAAUAUCUACGCAACAAAAACCCCUCAACAACCUAAUAUUAUUAAGAUUUUCCUCCACCAACCUCCACGCACCACUACACCCUUCACCUCCCUUCUCCAUAAUUAAUCCACCCUUCUCCAAGAUUUACUCUUCACGCAACCCUUACAAUCAAACCUUAAACGACAUAAGGCUAAACCCCACUCUUCCUCUCAACUUUUCAGCACCCAUACACCUUCCUAACUUUAGAAACUCCUCUCUCACAGAUUAGCCACCACCUCCCUGCACCCAUUCCCGAAUACAUCAACCUCCCACCCUACUCAUCCACGUGGCCAUAGUUGCCUCAUCAUGCAACCCAACCUUAACGUCCUAUGAAUACAUUCUCUAGUACAACUCCUUAACUCCCAACUCCAACUCUCGUUAAUCUCCCAGCAUCCAUUUUCUCCAAGGUUCACACAUCUUGCAACACGCACAACCCAAACCUUCCUCCCGCUCAUCUUUCCCUUCAUCUUCAUCUUUUAUCCACCCAAAUGAUCAUCUUCAUCUUGCAACACGCACAACCCCUUCCUGGAACUCCUUCCAAUUCUUUCUCUUUUUAACACUCACCCUACCUAUCUCUUCCUACUACUCCAUACUCACUGUCAUCACCAUUUAUCUUUCACUCACACCUAAUCUAACGCCUCUAAAGAUCUCCUUGCUCACGACACUCCUAGUUUCACUCCAGUACCAAUCCAUGAAUACUCCACUAAAACUCAUCCACGUUCUUCCUCAUCUUCUCCCACCCAUAACCUAACCGGUUUCUGUCUACCCAAAGUAGAACCAUGAUACCCAACUCACCGCAACAAGAAAAACCGAGAGCCCAUUGGGUUGAGACACUCCCCACCAUUAAUUCACAGAAACAUCACAAGGUCACAUGCAAUUCAUUCAUGCCUACCUUUCACGUAAAAGAAUAAGAAACCCAAACAACCACAUCAUAUACUCAUUAAUAUUUGAAAGAACCACAUCCCAAGCCCCUUAUACACAUGAUAAUAUCAAGUUAAUCCCCUUACCUGGUAUUUCCAGAGAAGCUGUAGGGUUCCUUGGAUCCUCAACCACCCUGAAGAGUGUUUUCCUUGCUCACCGCAGCCACCAGCUUCUUACAGGGCUUCCCGAUUCUUCCUCUCUUUUACUUUUAUUUUUGGUUUAAUAGUCAAUUUUGUCCUUAGUUUCGUUGACAAAUCUCAAUUUAGUCCCUCGUUUUAAAAGUGAUUGAGAUGGUCCUUACUUUCAAAAUUGUGAGUCAAAUUAGUCCC